ensembl:lncRNA NOVA1-DT NOVA1 divergent transcript
AAUGCAAAUCAAAACCACACAAAAGAUGAUCAAGAGGAGCAUGAAAAAAUCCCCUGAAUCCAUUGGCUUUCUUCCCUAUACUGACAACAGUUUACUUGUGUAAGAGAUGAGGGUCUCAUCCUUUUGCCCAGGCUGGAGUACAGUGGUGUGUAUGUAGCACACUGCAGCCUUCAACUCCUGAUCCUCCAACCUCAGCCUCCACAGUUGCUGGGAUUACAAGUUCAAGUUGGUGUGUAUCUGCAAAGGCGAUGGAAAGGAGUUCUUACAUAUGCAUAUUCUGAAGAAGGAUGUUACCCUUACUGAAAAACUUAUUCCAAGAUAUGUUUAAUCAAUCAUGAGAAAAAUAAAGAGACAUCCUUAUGAAUGGAGAAUAAAGUCCUCAGGGUUUUUUUCUAAUUCCCCAUGUGAAUGAAGAGCUGUGUUAUUCUAAAUAUAGUGUUUGUCAUAAGGCAA